rnacentral:rRNA from 1 species
AGUCGAACGGUAGCACAGAGAGCUUGCUCUCGGGUGACGAGGGGCGGACGGGUGAGUAAUGUCUGGGAAACUGCCUGAUGGAGGGGGAUAACUACUGGAAACGGUAGCUAAUACCGCAUAACGUCGCAAGACCAAAGUGGGGGACCUUCGGGCCUCAUGCCAUCAGAUGUGCCCAGAUGGGAUUAGCUUGUAGGUGGGGUAACGGCUCACCUAGGCGACGAUCCCUAGCUGGUCUGAGAGGAUGACCAGCCACACUGGAACUGAGACACGGUCCAGACUCCUACGGGAGGCAGCAGUGGGGAAUAUUGCACAAUGGGCGCAAGCCUGAUGCGGCCAUGCCGCGUGUAUGAAGAAGGCCUUCGGGUUGUAAAGUACUUUCAGUGAGGAGGAAGGCGAUAAGGUUAAUAACCUUGUCGAUUGACGUUACUCGCAGAAGAAGCACCGGCUAACUCCGUGCCAGCAGCCGCGGUAAUACGGAGGGUGCAAGCGUUAAUCGGAAUUACUGGGCGUAAAGCGCACGCAGGCGGUCUGUCAAGUCGGAUGUGAAAUCCCCGGGCUCAACCUGGGAACUGCAUCCGAAACUGGCAGGCUAGAGUCUUGUAGAGGGGGGUAGAAUUCCAGGUGUAGCGGUGAAAUGCGUAGAGAUCUGGAGGAAUACC